rnacentral:rRNA from 1 species
AGUCGUUCGCUAUUUAUAGAGUGGCGCACGGGUGAGUAACGCGUGGGAACCUGCCUUUUUCUGCGGGAUAACGGUUGGAAACGACCGCUAAUACCGCAUACGCCCUACGGGGGAAAGGUCCGCCGGAAAAAGAGGGGCCCGCGUCUGAUUAGCUUGUUGGUAGGGUAAUGGCCUACCAAGGCGACGAUCAGUAGCUGGUCUGAGAGGAUGAUCAGCCACACUGGGACUGAGACACGGCCCAGACUCCUACGGGAGGCAGCAGUGGGGAAUAUUGGACAAUGGGGGCAACCCUGAUCCAGCAAUGCCGCGUGUGUGAUGAAGGCCUUAGGGUUGUAAAGCACUUUCACUGGUGAAGAUGAUGACGGUAACCAGAGAAGAAGCCCCGGCUAACUUCGUGCCAGCCGCCGGGGG